UACGAAGGGGGCUAGCGUUGUUCGGAUUUACUGGGCGUAAAGCGCGCGCAGGCGGCUUUGCAAGUCAGGGGUGAAAUCCCAGAGCUCAACUCUGGAAUUGCCUCUGAGACUGUGAGGCUUCGAGUACGGGAGAGGUGAGUGGAAUUCCCAGUGUAGAGGUGAAAUUCGUAGAUAUUGGGAAGAACACCGGUGGCGAAGGCGGCUCACUGGCCCGUUACUGACGCUCAGGCGCGACAGCGUGGGGAUCAAACAGG
rnacentral:rRNA from 1 species